ACAAAGUUUUUUUAAUAAUCAUUUAUAUUUAUAAAAUAGUAUGCCUGACGUGUGUUGUGCCUUUGGAUGUACAAAUAGAAGAACAUUAGCUAAUGCUCAUUUGAGUUUUUAUCGAAUACCAGCUAAUAAAUCUGAAUCUUGUGCUAACAGAAGAGACAAAUGGGUUGCAGCAAUUAAAAGAGAAAAAUAAAACGUUUGAUUUCUCAAGACAUGAAAUUUUUAACUGAGUUUUGGUCCAUAAUAAUCCAUGUACAACAUGUUUUAAUAAAUAUAUUUUUAAAACGGAAGCAAGCACUAAAGAAGACAACAACGUUACAAAUUGAAGCAGAAAUUUAACAAAUCAUUUUGACGAUUGGAUAUGAAUCGCAGAAAAGCACCAUUAUUGAAUGUUUAUGAAUCAAAUCUUUGUAUUGUAAUUAGGGAUGCACCGAACGUUCGGCUGUUUUGCCGAACGUUCGGUUCGGCCGAACCUUGACAAAUGUUCGGCCGAACAUUUGCUAAAAAUGCUAAUUUGGAAAUUAAUAUCAUCAAAUCAUCAUAACUCAGCCUAAAUAGCUACAGUACCAACAGAUUUGGCUUUUUAUUGAAAACCCGAAACUUAUCUACAACGCAUAGUAG